rnacentral:tRNA from 1 species
GGUGGUGUAGCUUAAUUGAGCAUAAAGCAUUCAGCUGAUAACUGAAGAGUUGCAAGUCAAACCUUGCCUCCACUA